UACGUAGGGGGCUAGCGUUGUCCGGAAUCAUUGGGCGUAAAGAGCGUGUAGGCGGCCCGGUAAGUCCGCUGUGAAAGUCCAGGGCUCAACCCUGGGAUGCCGGUGGAUACUGUCGGGCUCGAGUCCGGAAGAGGCGAGUGGAAUUCCUAGUGUAGAGGUGAAAUUCGUAGAUAUUAGGAAGAACACCGGUGGCGAAGGCGGGUCUCUGGGCAAUAACUGACGCUGAGGAGCGAAAGCGUGGGGAGCGAACAGG
rnacentral:rRNA from 1 species